ACAAACACACACACACACACACACAUCUCCCCUAACUCCCAGAGGUGCAUUUCCGGGGGACUCCCCCCUUUGUCUAUCCACCAGCCAUUUUUACAUCCCAGUGUUGCCUCCUUCCUGGUCCUCUCCUGGCCUCACUGCCCUGCCCCAUUUUGGAUCUGCCAGGGUGGUUUGGUGACACGGACUUCAAUGCUGCACUUGACUUCCCAGCUCCUGCAGGAGCAGAUGUGGGUGCCAGGCUUCCUCCUGCUCUCCAGUCCUGCCGUGGACACCACCCUCCAGCCACACUGCUCUAGGCACAGCCCUUGUCAGACACUAAGCUGUUCCCAAGCACAUCCUGUUUGUCUUGACCCCUGCUACCACAUUUUGCAGACUUUCGAAGGUCAUCAGGGAGGGUGUUACACCUUUUCAGAACCCUCCUGGGCUCUAUCCCUUCUCCCUUUUCGUAUAUCCAGCCCUCUGUGUAAUCAAGUUCUGCAUCAAUAGAGUCAGUCAACCGUCGGUCAAAAAUAUUCAGGGGAAAAGUGCAUUUGUACUGAACAUAUACCGUCUCUUACCACAAUUGCCUAAACAAUACAUAUGUAUUAUUACACAUAUAAUACAAAUGCAUUAAAUAAUGCAAAAAUAUAUAGUAUUAGGAAUUAAUUGCAUGCUGAGAGUCACACACGGAGAUGGCUUUGUGCAAGUGAUACGCAAAUGCAUAGCUGUUUUGCAUGAGGAACUUGAGCAUCGUCCUUGACUUUGGUAUCCCUGGUCGGUUGGGGUUUUGGGGGCGGGGAGAAUCCAUCUUUUAUGCACACCUUUAACCAUUGGAGACUCUUGCAUUACAUAUAGUUAAAUUAUGCUUCCACCCCUAAGCCAGAGGCCUUGGUCUGACAUAAUUUGUCUUUGAGUCUCUGUUUGAUGCAUGUUGAUGUGAAGCAGAGGCGGCCUGUGAAGCUGGGGCACCGGUUUUUCCUGAGCCCCGGCUUCUGCGCUCAUGUGCAAAAGAGAGAAGGAAAUGCUCACUCUCCACUCUUCUCCCUUUCUCCCCGCAGUAGCGGAAUAGCCCAGGAACCAGAAUACCAAACCUGGACAGAGAAAGUCACGGAGAGGACAUCAAUGUCUGUGACCAAGAGAUGACAAUGGAAGGAGUGGCUUGUCACUGGCCUUUCUUCUGAGCCCACUGAUCAAUGCUGGAAGACCAAGUAGAUUGUAACAUGAUAAAUACGAUGUUCUGGAGGUGAACCGAAGGAUUCAAUGUGAUCAGAUGAGUAGGUGUGCGUGCGUGCGUGUGCGUGCGUGUGUGUGUGUGUGUGUGUGUGCGCGCGCGCGCAUGCACACACGUGUUCAUGGGUGCACAUGUCUGCUCAAACAUGUUGAGGCUGGAGGUCAACCUUGGGUUUCAUUCCUUAAGAACAUCACUUUGCUUUUGAGAGGCAGUGUCUCUCACUGGGCAAUUAGGCCUGCUGAUUUGGUUAGGCUAAUGGGCCAGUGACACAUAGGCCUGUCUCCAUCUCCCCAGCUCUGGGAUCACAAGCGCAUGCCAUCAUGCCUGGCUUUUAACAUGCUCUGGACACGGAACCCAGGUCCCUAUGCUUCUACACUAAAUACUUAUUUGACCGAGCUAUGCCACCAACCUACAUUUUAACUGAUUUCAACGUCAAAGUGAGAUAACCACCAUUAAGCAGGCUGGAUAGAUCGCUCCAAGAACACAGAAACGCCAGGGAUCUCUCUGCAUCCUGUUUUCGACACGUCUCGCCCCCAGUCCCUGCGGUCUGGCUGUUUGUGGAGUGAUACAGGUCAACCCAAGAUGGCGGCAAACUGCAGGUGGAUCCCAAGACUAAAACCCUGCCGGUCCUUCUGUUCUGCCCCUUUUCAUGCUCCUUUUGCUUGGCUGGAACUCAAAAGCCAGACUCCUCAGGCAUGGCGAGAGGCCACCUUGUGACCGCAACGCUUUCAUUAUUCAUUAAGCCAUCUUCCCUCCUGCUUGAAAUCCGGGUUUAGCCACAUGGUCUACGCAUCUUCAGUUCUCUCGCAGCCCUCCCCGGGUCACGGACAGAAGGCAGCGCUUCAGACAUCAGCUGCAAAAAUGCAGUUUGCCAAGGUGCUGCAAAGCAGGUCAGCGGCCCGGGCGCUGUGGCCGGGAGCCAGCUCCGUGUCCACUGAAGCCUGAAUAUUUUACACCUAGUGACUCUGAGUUACAGGAUUUAAGAGUUUCAGACACCAGAUUAAACUUGAUUUGAAAGUGGCCCUGGAGGACAUUUGUUAAAGAAAAAUAAAGAUGCUAGAUGCUAGAUGGAGUCUAACGUCCUCUGCAUGGUGGCUCGGUCUACGUACAGUCUAAGGCUGUGUGCUUCUGGAAAUGUCCAGGUGCCAGCUCCUGCCUUCUCUACCUUACCUCAGAGAUGUUGGCAACCGGCCCCUCCCCUGACACCUUCUUUUUAGGUGUCUGUGUGUGGCGUGCGUGCAAGUUCUCAUAGGUGGGUACAUGUGUGUGCACAUGCACAUGGAAGCCAGAGGUCGAGACCAAGAGUCUUAAUCGCUCUGUCAUCUAGUUCAUCAAGGCAGGGUCUCUCAGUCAAACCCAGAGCUCACCAAUGAGACUAGCUGGCUAGCUCCAGGGAUUCCGUCUCAGCUGGUAGAGACUGAAAUUACAAACGGGCUGCAUGUCCACCUGGCAUUUGCUUGUGCAACAAGUACUUUUGCCCCUGAGCCAUGUCCCCAAGCAACGGCACUCCGAACUGCCAAGUUUGUACUGUCAAAAUGAUCUGCUGACUUGUACCAAUGGAUCCAAUAAAUCUGGGAGAUGAGUGUUAUUGUUCCAUUUCACAGAGGAGUCAACCGAGGCUCCAGAAUGAUUAAAAUGAACAGGCACAGAGAGCUGGGGGAGUCAGACUGCUUAUACUUGGCUCCAAAGUUCAUGCUGCGUUCUCGCAUGGCACCCAGCUUGUGGUCACUGAUGGCCCUUAGAGGGCCUCUUGGAGACCAAUUCAGUCCGGCUGAGGCUGUCCAUGGUAACUGGGUAACCUCUUGCCCAGACGCCAUUCUUCACUGUCCUGUUUUGAGCAGUCGGGAUAGCAGGAUCUCCUUGAGGUGGUGGGUUCCCUGCACACAGCUCCAAUGGGACUCCUGAGUCCGCAGACUGAGGAGCAAGCCCUGGUUACUUGUAACCCCACCACUCCAAUGCUUUUGUCUCUGAGGGGCGGGGGGUGGGGUGGGCUGACUUCUCAUGCACGGGAUGAACAGUGGGCUCUGGUUAGCCCAGCACGGCGGGCUCAGGCAAAUGAAUAGCCGCAGGUGGGGGGUGCUGCCUUUCACCCCCAUACGUAGGAUCUCGACUUUGGGAAGGUGCGGCCCACGGUGGCAGCCGCAGCAGCAGAGGCAGGGCUGGCACAGCUGAAGAGGAGGAGCUGGAAGCUGGGUCUUGCCUGCCCAGCCUCUUAGAGGCCAGGCCUCCAGCUGGGCCCUAAUUCGCAAGGCUGCUGCCAGCACUCAUUCAUAAAUGAUGAAAAAGCUCUCAGCAAAUGCCGAGCCAUGCAUCAGGCCCCAAGGCCCCUGCUGGGGACCUGAGCACUGAGCAGACUGAGUCCCCAAGCGGCACUCCCGGACUGAUCCAUCUGGUGCAUUCAUCCACCCAGCAGACAUUCGCUUAGGCCACGGACUUGGAUGCUCUGGAAUCGUGAGUGGAGGCCGCUGUCCCUGACCUCUAGGAACCAUAAGCAGAAAUCCGGUGAUAUGGCACGGUACCCAAGUCUAGGCUCUGACUCGGAACUCGGAGAGCAGAGAGAAGAAGUGUCACCAUAGCUAGGGAUGGAGGUCACCUGUAAGUUACAUUCUGAUGCAUGCUUGGAAUGGGUGGGCAAUUGCUCCCCUGAAAGAGUUCAUUCCAGCAGGCAAGAUGGCAGUAUGGCUGAAAAGUAGACAAGGAUUUCAAACCACAAUUCUACUUUGAAAUGGGAAAGCAAGCUCAGCCUUUGGGCCUGUUACUUCCUUUAGAUCUUUUGCUUCCAUGUCCUGCGUACUUGGAUAUCAUGCCGGGAGAUUUACAUAGCCUCUGGCCAUCAUCUGCUAGAGACCUUGGACAUAGUGCCCUGAGACGAACAUGGUCUCUUGCCAUCAGCUAGAGUUGACUUAGUUGAUUACUAGCAAGAACACUAGGUGUAUAAUUGGCAGUUGACAGUUUGUAUCCUGGGCUCAUUGUUGGGGAAUGAGUGGGGGGAAUUAUUUCUUCUCUGGAUGGGUUUUCACCAGGAAGGGGAAGCCUCUCCAGGCUGGGAUCCUUACCCAUGUGAUCAGGGGACACUGAGAGUCCAACAGCAGCUUCUCCUGAGGGUCUGAACCAAUAUAAUAGACAAACACAGAAUCACACAGAAGCAAAGCUGGUAUCCUACGCCCCUGGAUUCAGCAGCAGGAAGCGGCCAGGAGAGAGGGUCACCUCCUCUGGGCUCUGGAUUCUGAGAAGAGGAAUGCCAUUCCAUCACAUGGGAACAAGUGCUUCUAGACUGGGAAUCUCAACUCAUCUUCUCUUUCUCCAAGCAAAGCUACCGUGGUUCCCAACAUUGGGAGAAGCAGAGGGAUGUUGAAAAUUAUAUGAUUUUUUUUUUAGGUGAAUCCCACCCAAAACCAGACUGAAAUCUCACAGGCUUUCAGGUCCCGGGACCUGGUGUCUUUUGGGUCGAGCCGAUGUUUGGUUCCAGGAAACAUCGAAGAAGAAAAAAAGAAGUGACGUCACUGCUGGAGGGCUGGCCAUUCUGAUCCGACUCGAGAAUAACUUUUCCGGGUCAAGAGCUCGAACGAGAGCUGGGGAGCGCUGGGCUCUCACAGCACUGCACCUGCUGCUGUGUUCACCUUUGUCCUAAUGGAGACCCCUGCGAACGGGAAGCAGCGUGGUGGCCCGGCCAUCAGGAUGGGCAAGGAGCUUAGACAUCUGCAGUAAGUGGCAUUUAAAGGGUCAAGUGACUGUGACUCGAAGAGAAAGAGGUCAUGUUGUCACCAGCAUGACAGGACACCUGGGAAGCUGCCUUUCCUGCCAGGCACCCGCUAUGCAGAUUUUCCCAAACUUUACACAAAUGGAAUUAGUGCUGGGAAAUUAUUUUUGGAGAGAGUACCCUUUGUCUAAACGAGUUUGAAGAUCUGUGGAACAAUGAAGCAGUUUAAACUUGUCACAGGGGAAGAAUGCCAGGGGCUAGGGGCACGCAACAGACCAAAGCUGCUUCUGUCUAACUGGCACUAGAUUUCCGUUUUUAUGAAACGUGGUCAGCCUGGCUGCCCUCUUGGGAGUCUCUCAGGAUCCCAGGGCCCUCUCUGGGGUACUCAGCUUUACCUACGUGAUAGAAGUUCCUAAGAGCCCACACCCACAUUCCGUUUCCCCCUCAAUUACUUUGUGGCACUUUUUACUGGAGGAGAUAGCUCUCUAGGAUGAAAACCCAGUCCGUAAACUGCAACGUAUGGGAAACAAAAGAUCCAGCUACAGGCAGCUCUUGAAAGCUUUGAUCCAGGAAUCAAUUUGGUUACAAGUCAGGGGUGGCCAGUCCUUAAACCCUGGCCAGAAGCCAUGGGCGUGGUGCCCAGAUACAUUUAAGAAUAAAGAGUUGAAACACGGGACUGGAGAGGUGGCUCAGUGGUUAAGAGCACUGACUGCCCUUCCAGAGGUCCGGAGUUCAAA
rnacentral:sRNA from 1 species